GUACUGCUGAGGAGUCCCAUAAUAGAACGAAACGGCUGUCCAGUGC
rnacentral:hammerhead_ribozyme from 1 species